ACAACUUUGGGGCCUGUGAUCUGUGAAGACAGGGUCCUCAGAGUGGACCAGCCCACUUUGCCUGUUCUCCUGGGCCAUCACAGUCUCCUGGGCCAUCACAGUCUCCUGGGCCAUCACGGUCUCCUGGGCCAGGCGCCUUAGGGGGAGAUCUCAAGGAAAGGUAGCAGUUCAGUGAUUCCAGCUCCCAGGUCCCUGCUAGCUUGGAUCUCCAUCAUCCCUGGAGCAGUGGAGCCCUCUCACUCCUGUGGACAGAUGGAGGGAUGGAGCAUGGAGAGGCAUGGAGAGCCCAGCCUGGAAGGGACACUCAGCCCUGUAUUCUCAUUCCCUGGUACACAGGCCACCAGACGUGCCCACCCAGCCACAGACAGAGAAGCUGGCCAAAGGAGACUGGACGACCAGACCUGCCUUUAGAG